rnacentral:rRNA from 1 species
CCUACGGGAGGCUGCAGUGGGGAAUAUUGGACAAUGGGGGGAACCCUGAUCCAGCCAUGCCGCGUGUGUGAAGAAGGCCCUCGGGUUGUAAAGCACUUUCAGUGAGGAAGAACGCCUGGUGGUUAAUACCCAUCAGGAAAGACAUCACUCACAGAAGAAGCACCGGCUAACUCCGUGCCAGCAGCCGCGGUAAUACGGAGGGUGCGAGCGUUAAUCGGAAUUACUGGGCGUAAAGCGCGCGUAGGUGGCUUGAUAAGCCGGUUGUGAAAGCCCCGGGCUCAACCUGGGAACGGCAUCCGGAACUGUCAAGCUAGAGUGCAGGAGAGGAAGGUAGAAUUCCCGGUGUAGCGGUGAAAUGCGUAGAGAUCGGGAGGAAUACCAGUGGCGAAGGCGGCCUUCUGGACUGACACUGACACCGAGGUGCGAAAGCGUGGGUAGCAAACAGGAUUAGAUACCCGAGUAGUC